rnacentral:rRNA from 1 species
CCUGGCUCAGGAUGAACGCUAGCUACAGGCUUAACACAUGCAAGUCGAGGGGCAGCAUGGUCUUAGCUUGCUAAGGCCGAUGGCGACCGGCGCACGGGUGAGUAACACGUAUCCAACCUGCCGUCUACUCUUGGACAGCCUUCUGAAAGGAAGAUUAAUACAAGAUGGCAUCAUGAGUCCGCAUGUUCACAUGAUUAAAGGUAUUCCGGUAGACGAUGGGGAUGCGUUCCAUUAGAUAGUAGGCGGGGUAACGGCCCACCUAGUCUUCGAUGGAUAGGGGUUCUGAGAGGAAGGUCCCCCACAUUGGAACUGAGACACGGUCCAAACUCCUACGGGAGGCAGCAGUGAGGAAUAUUGGUCAAUGGGCGAGAGCCUGAACCAGCCAAGUAGCGUGAAGGAUGACUGCCCUAUGGGUUGUAAACUUCUUUUAUAAAGGAAUACAGUCGGGUAUGGAUACCCGUUUGCAUGUACUUUAUGAAUAAGGAUCGGCUAACUCCGUGCCAGCAGCCGCGGUAAUACCGAGGAUCCGAGCGUUAUCCGGAUUUAUUGCGUUUAAAGGGAGCGUAGAUGGAUGUUUAAGUCAGUUGGGAUACGUUGCGGCUCAACCGUAAAAUUGCAGUUGAUACUGGAUAUCUGNAGUGCAGUUGAGGCAGGCGGAAUUCGUGGUGUAGCGGUGAAAUGCUUAGAUAUCACGAAGAACUCCGAUUGCGAAGGCAGCCUGCUAAGCUGCAACUGACAUUGAGGCUCGAAAGUGUGGGUAUCAAACAGGAUUAGAUACCCUGGUAGUCCACACGGUAAACGAUGAAUACUCGCUGUUUGCGAUAUACAGCAAGCGGCCAAGCGAAAGCGUUAAGUAUUCCACCUGGGGAGUACGCCGGCAACGGUGAAACUCAAAGGAAUUGACGGGGGCCCGCACAAGCGGAGGAACAUGUGGUUUAAUUCGAUGAUACGCGAGGAACCUUACCCGGGCUUAAAUUGCAGAUGAAUUACGGUGAAAGCCGUAAGCCGCAAGGCAUCUGUGAAGGUGCUGCAUGGUUGUCGUCAGCUCGUGCCGUGAGGUGUCGGCUUAAGUGCCAUAACGAGCGCAACCCUUGUUGUCAGUUACUAACAGGUUCCGCUGAGGACUCUGACAAGACUGCCAUCGUAAGAUGUGAGGAAGGUGGGGAUGACGUCAAAUCAGCACGGCCCUUACGUCCGGGGCUACACACGUGUUACAAUGGGGGGUACAGAGGGCCGCUACCACGCGAGUGGAUGCCAAUCCCCAAAACCUCUCUCAGUUCGGACUGGAGUCUGCAACCCGACUCCACGAAGCUGGAUUCGCUAGUAAUCGCGCAUCAGCCACGGCGCGGUGAAUACGUUCCCGGGCCUUGCACACACCGCCC